AGAACGAACGCUGGCGGCAUGCCUAACACAUGCAAGUCGAACGAGACCUUCGGGUCUAGUGGCGCACGGGUGCGUAACGCGUGGGAAUCUGCCCUCAGGUACGGAAUAACUCAGGGAAACUUGAGCUAAUACCGCAUAAUGUCUUCGGACCAAAGAUUUAUCGCCUGGGGAUGAGCCCGCGUAGGAUUAGCUUGUUGGUGAGGUAAAAGCUCACCAAGGCGACGAUCCUUAGCUGGUCUGAGAGGAUGAUCAGCCACACUGGGACUGAGACACGGCCCAGACUCCUACGGGAGGCAGCAGUGGGGAAUAUUGGACAAUGGGCGCAAGCCUGAUCCAGCAAUGCCGCGUGAGUGAUGAAGGCCUUAGGGUUGUAAAGCUCUUUUGCCCGGAUGAUAAUGACAGUACCGGAGAAUAAGCUCCGGCUAACUCCGUGCCAGCAGCCGC
rnacentral:rRNA from 1 species